GAGCCCGUGGCUCAAUGGUAGAGCGUUCGACUCAAAAACUAAACGUUGCGGGUUCG
rnacentral:tRNA from 1 species